rnacentral:pre_miRNA from 12 species
GGGCUCCUCUAUGUCUCCCAGCCCAAGGUGCAGUGCUGCAUCUCUGGUCAAUUGGGAGUCUGAGAUGAAGCACUGUAGCUCGGGAAGGGAGGAACUGUGCACCCUG